GACGAACGCUGGCGGCGUGCUUAACACAUGCAAGUCGAACGGAAAGGCCCUGCUUGCAGGGUACUCGAGGGGCGAACGGGUGAGGAACACGUGGGGGAUCGGCCCUGCACUUCGGGAUAAGCCUGGGAAACUGGGUCUAAUACCGGAUAGGAGCCAGCCGGAGUGGGAUGGGUGGAAAGUUUUUUCGGUGUAGGAUGAGCACGCGGCCUAUCGGCUUGUUGGUGGGGUCAUGGCCUACCAAGGCGGCGACUGGUAGCCGGUCUGCCCGGGUGGACGGCCAGAUUAGGACUGGGAGACGGAACGGACUCCUACGGGGGGUAGCAGUGGGGAAUCUUGCCCAAUGGGCGCGAGCCCGAUGCAGCGACGCCGCGUGGGGGAUGACGGCCUUCGGGUUGUAAACUCCUUUCGCUAGGGACGAAGCUUUUUGUGACGGUACCUAGAUAAGAAGCACCGGCUAACUACGUG
rnacentral:rRNA from 1 species